AUAUGGCGACAUAGAGCGGAACCCGAAAACCUGUCUCAGUUCGGAUUGGAGUCUGCAACCCGACUCCAUGAAGCCGGAUUCGCUAGUAAUCGCGCAUCAGCCACGGCGCGGUGAAUACGUUCCCGGGCCUUGUACACACCGCCCGUCAAGCCAUGGAAGCCGGGAGUGCCUGAAGUGCGUGAGCGCAAGCAGCGCCCUAAGGUAAAACCGGUGACUGGGGCUAAGUCGUAACAAGGUAAC
rnacentral:rRNA from 1 species